ensembl:Y_RNA Y_RNA Y RNA
GGCUGGUCCGAGUGCAGUGGUGUUUACAACUAAUUGAUCACAACCUGUUACAGAUUUCUUUGUUCCUUCUCCACUCCCACUGCUUCACUUGACUAGCCUUAA